CCUACGGGUGGCAGCAGUGGGGAAUAUUGCACAAUGGGGGAAACCCUGAUGCAGCGACGCCGCGUGAGGGAAGAAGGAUUUCGGUAUGUAAAGCUCCAUCAGUAGGGAAGAAGCAAGACGGUAUCUGACCAAGAAGCGCCGGCUAACUACGUGCCAGCAGCCGCGGUAAGACGGAGGGGGCAAGCGUUACCCGGAUUUACUGGGUGUAUAGGGAGCGUAGACGGUAUGGCAAGUCUGAAGUGAAAGCCCAGGGCUUAACCCUGGGACUGCAUUGGAAACUGGUAGACUAGAGUGCUGGAGAGGUAAGUGGAAUUCCUGGUGUAGCGGUGAAAUGCGUAGAUAUUGGGAGGAACCCCAGUGGCGAAGGCGGCUUACUGGACAGUAACUGACGUUGAGGCUCGAAAGCGUGGGGAGCGAACAGGAUUAGAUACCCGUGUAGUC
rnacentral:rRNA from 1 species